GCAGCUUUGUCUCUCUGUCUUGCUGUCUCUCCAUCUGUCUCCCUCUGUGUCUUUGUCUCUGUGUGUCUUGCUGAGGCACAUCUUGACCCUCACAGGGCCUGGGGCAGGGCAGGGGACCCUCACCUCCAUGCGCGUCCCGGGGAGCCUGCCACACAGCCCUUCCUGACGCCUCUGUGACCCGCAGGGCAGGGGCCCCGGAGCCUGCUUCUCCUGCCUCGUUCCCUCUGGGGGCCCUGGCGGCACCAUGUCUCCUUCCCUCGGAGCCGAGGUCACAAGCCCCACGCCAACAGCCUGGCCCUGUCCUCCCACAGGCUUCGGACACUCAGUGUCCCACACACCGCGUGCCCUGAGCCCCUCAAGCCCUCUGCUCCCUUGGCCACGUUCUGCUUCUCCGUGUCCACUGACGACCAGCCAGCACAGCGUCCCGCAGGGCCCAGGUGCCCAGUGGAGAAAGAAGCAGUUCUCGGCCGUAAAGGAGAGAGACACACGUGUGGUGACAGGAGAGGCGGUGCUGGCGGAAGAGGCAGCAGGUACCGCCGGGCCUUCCUGCAGCAGGUGCAUCGAGAGCACUCAAGGAGGAGGCAGGCCUGAGCGCAGGGGGCGUCCUCCCUGAGAGGCCGUGGUGCCCACCCGGGCUUCGUGGGCUCCGCCAGGCACUUCUUUUGUCCUGGUUAGUGUCACUCUGUUACUACGUCUUCGGGUAUGACUCUGGCGCACUCACCGCCAGCCCGUAAGCUCCCACUGGGUCUCCGGGUCUGGUGGUGUGGCCCUGCUCCUCUGACCUCUCUGGACGUGGCCGCCCGCCACUGUGACCGCCGCACGCACUUCCCCGAUGGCCUGUCUCUCCGGCUCACACCGGGCAGUCCUGUCCCGCGACAGAUGAGGGGACACACACGACGAAACACGCUCAGCUACUCGGGUCAAAAUACUGGGACGCAGCGGGGACGCCUCACUCAGUAUCCGGAACAUUCUCUCUCCUCCGAUGGAGCACGGAGCGGGCACGCAUAACGCUCAUUCAUAGCAAGAUGUAAAAAUCGUAAAGUCCAUCUGCGCGUUUAUUCUCCCUGAUUCGUGACUUAAGUGAGUCGAGCUGUAGGCACGGAGCAGGCCAGGCCGCGACGCAGGGACCGCUCCCCCAGGGACAGCUCAUCGGCCCCGUUGCUCUGCGCGUGGGGUCGGCCCAGGGUCUCUGCUGCACGAGGGCGUCCAGGGCUCACGGACACUCAGCGCUCCGACAGGGUUCGGUUCCUAGCAGUUGUGGGCCUGGAGUCCCUGGCUCAUCACCAGCUGUCCCCCAGCCUGUUCCUGGAGGCCACUUCUGUCCCAUGUCACAGGCCCCCACCCGGGAGCCUGCAACAUGUGCGUCAUCCUCCUCGUGCCCCUGGCCUCUGACCUUCCCCCUGCCCCCGACUUGGGGACCUUCUGCUCUCAGGCUCCAAGCCCACCUGGACCGUCUCCAUGCCACCACGUAACCAUGGAGUCCCACGGGGGAGGGGGAGGUCCAAGCAAACCUUAACCUCCAGAGCUUUGCACUUGGUGCUGAGAGUCCAUGCUCUGUGUCCUUCUGGAGAAUUCUGGUUCGGGCAAACCAAAGCAUUUCUGAAUGAAAGAAAGUAAUGUCUUCACACAAAAUUAGCAAUUCAAAUCGUAAUUUGAAAAUCUCCCCAAAAUAUGCCCGUGGAUUUGAACUCACCCUGCGGAGAUGAGUGUGUUUCCUGAAGGCUCAGAACUCCCCGUGGGACCGGGUCACUCAAGUCACUGUUCAGACUAUGAGGGAGACGCACAGGUGGGCAGAUGCUCCCAGGGAGGCGGUGCACAGGUGACAGGCAUGAGGAGGCCAGGACUGCAGGCCAGCCUUGGCCCCAGCCAUCUCCUGCCCUUAGAAUGGGCAGACAGCAAUUUGCAAGGUUUUGAUUGAAUUUGUGUAAGAGUCACUUUAAGGUGGCCACCGAGCGGCCAUUUCUCCGGGGGCUGGAGGAGAACACGUGCACAGAUGGCCCCCGCCCCUCACCUGCAGACCUGGGAUGUCCUGCGCCAUUUGGAAGCAGCCAAUCAUGAAGCUCCAGCUUCCCGUCACCCUGACAGACGAGGCAACCUGCUCCAUCCCGCCACACCCCGGAAAGGCCCUUAUUUGAUAAUCUGCCCUGCCAAGAUCAAACCCAGAACCCCCUCACCCAUAAA